GGUUGUCCCCUUGGGCUGAUGAUGUCUGUUUGCUCUGGGAAGCACUAGAUAGACCCAUCCUGCACUGAUUUGGGGUGGUGUUUUCAGCUCUUCAAUAUAAAGGUAAGUGACUCUCAAUAACGUUGGUUCCUACCUGGAUGUCUGCUGUGGGCCUGUUCUCAUACAGCAAUGUGGUGAUUCCUCUGCUCAUCUGUUCCUUUAGUCAUACUCUAAACAAAAUCUCCUUUUAACAAUAUUUUCAUAAGGUGUACUGAGCUUUCAUCCCUCCCUACAGCGUAGAGUUGAGGGUUUCUCUAGGCUUUAGAUAUACUAUGUGCUGGUUUAAAAGCAAACUGGCAGGAGAAAUGAACCCAGCUCAAGAGAGAUUAGAAGUCAGAGCUACAAUUUACUAAAAAGGUUACAAUAAAUACAAUGAUACAGAAAAAACCCCUAGUUUUAAUCCCCAAAGACAGAUGUACAACCCUGGAACAAGAACAGAACAGUGUUUGUAUUAGGGCUCACUUAUCUGUCUUGCAUUUUAUCCCUCUCUCUCUCUCUUUUUAUAGUCUCCCUUUUCAUUACACUUAAUAUUGUUAUUAUUAUAUUAUUUUAUUUCAAUUACUAAACUGUUCUUAUCUCAAUCCACAGCUUUUACCUCUUUCCAAUUCUUCUCCUCAUCCCACCAGGGCCAGGAACAAGCAGCAGCAUGGUAUUUAGUUUCUGGCUGGGGUUAAACCAUGACAGUUCAUGUUCAGAGAGAUAGUGCUGGCUCCAUGACAACACCAGCACUUACAGUAUCAGAGGAGCUGAUUUUGGUAAUGCAUCAACCUGAGAAGGCAGCUGCAGCACCACAGGAGGAAAAUACACCCAGGCACGCAGCCUUGUCCAUCCCCACAGCUGCAAAGCUACAUGUGACAGCAGCCUGCACACCUCGCAGAGUGGUAAAAAUUUUCAGGCUGAUUCUGGGAAGAUGCUGGUAACUGGCAUGCACUGAUGGAUGAUAACAGGAGAGAAGCUCUUCCCAUCAGGGAUGGAUACUGUCUGUGGCUGCAUUCUCAUGGAAGAAAGGCUGGCAGGGAGUGCAGCAGGAAUGAGGUUUUCAGAAAUGAAGCAUUGCAGUCUCCCCUAAUACUGAGUAGGCACUCUGUGUACUGUGAGGUUGUCUUCUUUGCUGAACUGAGAGCAACAAAGUGUUGAAACAUCUUGGUGGAUUGGAGCAAAAGAUGUCUCAUUUCUGCUUCCUUUUUUUAAAGUUCAUCUUGAAUGCUGUAGGUGUAAAGACCUGUUGAUUAAGACUGUCAUGUGCAAUUUUUUAAUAUUGGUUUAUUGUUUUUCUUUCUUUGAACAAAGAUGACAGAAAACCCAUGUAAAGAAUGAAGUUUUCAUAAAGCUAAAAUUGAACACUGUUACACUUUUGGAAGCUUGAAAUACACAGAAUGCCAUAUCGAAAUACAAGGGACAAUGGCUACAAACUGAAAGAUGGUAGGUUUACAUAAGAUAUGAAGAAGUAAUUCUUCACUAUGAGGGUGGUGAGACACUGAAACAAGCUGCCCAGAGAAACUGUGGAUAUGCCAUCCCUGGAAUUGUUCAAGGCCAGGUUGAGUGGGGUUUUGAGCAAGCUGGUCUAGUGGAAAGCUCCCUGACCAUGGCAGGAAGGUGGAACUAGAUGAUCUGUAAGGUCCUUUCCAAUCCAAACCACUCCAUGGUUCUAUAAAAUGCUGCAAGCAUAUCUAAAAUUUACUCUUGACUCUCUACCCCAUCCCUUAUGACAUACAGGCAAAACCUCAUAGACUAAAUAUCACUAAAACUGUGUCCUUAGAAAACUUUGCUGUUUACAAAAGCAUGUUUUUAAAGACAUGCUUCAGAUAAUAAUGAAGGCUAACAGUCUCAGAACACAGAAUAAUUCCAUUUUAAUUAUACGGGGUAGUUCUUCAUUACUGAGUGCUCAGAGAGAAGUGCAAAAGAAAUCUGAUUUCAUGCUGUUAUAAUCAAAGGGAAUAUAAAAUUAAAAAACACCUGUGUAAUCACAAGUUUAAUUAAGAGCAAGGGAAAUAUUUAAUUUAUUAAAGAAUAGAAAAGACUGAAAUACCAGAAAUGAAACAAUGGCAUUCUGUAAAGAAUCAAUAUGUGAGAAGACUACGAAUAGAUGUCCUUAAUUUCAUUUUUGUGUUUCUGAUUUUCCUCUUAAUCUUCCUUUUCCUUUUCCUUUUCCUUUUCCUUUUCCUUUUCCUUUUCCUUUUCCUUUUCCUUUUCCUUUUCCUUUUCCUUUUCCUUUUCCUUUUCCUUUUCCUUUUCCUUUUCCUUUUUUCACUAUAUUACUUGCACUUUGUAGUCAAAAGCAUCUAGAUUUGAAUUACUUCAGCAGCCAAGCCAUAAGUUCCACUUAAGCUCCUGUUUAAUAGGGGCCAACUCGCAGAAAAGAUGUUUAGUUUUUGUCGCCCUUAUAAUGUGACAGGGAUAGUUUAUACAAAUAAUGUUUUUAGUGGGUUGAAAUACUGCUUUCACUAAUGUGCUUUCCUGUUUUCUGCAGAUAAAGCAUUGUUUGUCCAUGUGCUAAGUGCACCACUCUGGCCGAAUGUCCUACUUUUAUAAACAAAAAUGUUAGUGCUUCCAGUGUAAAGUACAGAUCACUGCUGAAGUAGAUCUUAAACUGGAUUGCUUUUUACUGUUUUUAUUAGAUCUUAUUCUCUUUCAGAAUUUAGUAAAAGUUUUUCGAUUACUUGUAAGAAAAAUACUGACCUAGAUAUGGUUCUGAACUUUGAUUGGUAUCAUUGCACGCAGCUGUACAGGGAUAUUGCAGGACAAAAUUAUGGGUUUUUUAAACCUAAAGCAAGUGAGCUGAACUUCUGGAAAUAAAAAUUAUAUUGAUCUGUCUUCCAAGUCCUUUUUAACUAUUCAUUUUUCUAGAAACAUUUGCAGGAGCUUACAACCAGUUGCAGAAUUGUGUGUUAGGUUUGUUUGGUCUUGAAUAAGUUGUUUCAGAAGAAAUUUAUCUCUCUAUUGGGAAGUUAAAUUAUAGUGUUUAUAGAGCAUUUUUGCCUGACUUUGUUUAUUUUAAAAAUAAAUAAAACCUUUUCCACACAAACUUUGCACAGUGGUAGAAAUACUAUCUGUGUGAAAAUAUAUCAGUGGUGUAGUUUCAGCCAGCCAAACUUCUGUAGCAUACUUGCUGCCCUCAAAGCAAUUUUGUCAUCCUGUUUACCAAAUAAAGCAGGCACCCUGAAGAGAACUCCAUCAUAUUACUAAAGCAUAUGAACAUGGUACCCAGGAGGCCUGCCUGGAGACUAUGUAGAUCGUGUCAAUUUUGGUAUUUUUGAUGUUGAAUGAUUGGAUCUGAAAAAUGGAAUACUUUUUAGUAUUCUUAUUGUAGACUUAUUGUUACUGUUGUUUUUGUUAUCUUUAAUUUACAUUUAGCCUCCCCAGGGUUGACUUGUCUCUCUGUUCUAUCAAAUAACUCUGACACUCAAGUAAGUGUCAAAAUGUAGUGGGGAUGACAAAGGGACUGGCUUGUACUUAACAUUGUUCAGGGCUUUUUAGAAGGGCUAGGCUAACAAGCUUCUUCUCCAUGUGGUAUCCUCAGCUGAGGACAUUUGGUACAUGUGCAGGAUUUGGUUUCCAUCCCCCUUCUCCAUCAGGCUGAGCAUUAUAUACACAGAAAAUGACUUCUGGUUUGGGUAUAUCAUAGUUAUAGCUGUGCAGGUGCUUGACAUUCUGGAACACCUUCUUUAUCGUUCAAGCUGCCUGUAGAUGAUGACUUUCAUAUUUGCCCAGAAAGCUGUACAUUUUCUGUUACUGUGACAAUGGAAGUAAAAUAGAGAAAAAUCCAAUCUUUCCCCAGCACUCAUUUUGUGGUGAAAAUCUUUCUUUCAAAAUUCUUGAGAAAUCUUGAGCACUUUAACUAAAAGCAGAGCAACCCAAAGAAACAGCAAAUGUGGAGAACACAAUUCCCUGUUGAGGAACCCAGAGUGGCUCAAUUAUACUUUCAUAUCAAAAUGGCCCUUUUCUUCCUGAUAGAAAAAGAUAAGGAACAUGAGUUAAUCCAGGCCAAAAUCAGUGUUUAAGACUCUGCUAGGAUAACUGUUUUAAUUGAAAAUGUUGAAGAAGAUUUUGAAAGAAGUCAUCAGACUUGAUUUGUUUGUAUAACAAAAUUGACAAAAAUUCCCUACUUUAGAAUCAUAGAAUCAUAAAAUGGUUUGGGUUGGAAGUGACCUUAAAAUUCAUCUGGUUCCAAUCCCCCUGCCAUGGGCAGGGACACCUUUCACUAGACCAGGUUGCUCAGAGCUCCAUCCAACCUGGCCUUAAACACCUCCAGGGAUGGGAGGUGGAAUAAUCUUUGAUCUUUUUCGAGAAACAUAUCGGAAGUUGGGACGAAAGAAGAGUUUUUCUCUUCCUCUAGAUACCAAUUGUGUGAAUCAUUAGUAAUGUGAAUGAUCAGUCUAUAUGUCUGGUACUCUUAUUACUUCCAAGUGUGUUCCUGCAUGGCAAUUAUAUUAUUAACUGAUUUACUAAAGCGUUGUGUUUUAGGACAUGUAUUUUGAGUAGCAGAGAAAAUCAAUCUGUUGGUAGCACAUUGCCAAGUUCAUCUAUUUUGUUACAUUAUCCUAAAAAGCUACUUUAAAUGAGCUUCCUUCUGCUGCAGACAGGUAUCCAGCAACAGCUGUGUGCUUUUUGUGUACCAAAGAAGGAGUUCCUCCAGGCUGUGAAGGAUUCCAGGCUCUGUCCUUGGCACCUGUGGUGAGUGAUGUUGUUGACCUCAGUAGCUGUAGAACCUCCAAGUUAAAGCUUGCUUGAGAGCAGAGCUGUUUACACCAGGGAGGACCUGAGUAGGGGAACUGUCGGGUCAAUAUAGAACAAGAGUAAAAUAAACUUCAUUGUUAAGUGGCUUUAUAA